AUGGCCAUGGAGACGUUCUUCACCGCGCUCGUCUUCUGCGAGGCGCCCCUUGACAGCUAUGGCACGUCAGUGUUCACCGCCGGCACGGUCAAGAGGCUGGUUUCUGGCGGAGGUAACGCGACGAAGCCGGCGGUGGCUAACAAGCGGGACGCUGAGAAGGAGCAGGGUUUCUUCUCUGGCAAGCUGUCGGCGCAGUGGCGUGCUGGGUUCGAGCUCGCAUUCGAUGGACUCAAUUGCUUCGACACCGUCGUCAUGCAUUAA
rnacentral:rRNA from 1 species